GGCGCCAUGGCUUAGUUGGUUAAAGCGCCUGUCUAGUAAACGGGAGAUCCUGAGUUCGAAUCUCAGUGGUGCCU
rnacentral:tRNA from 1 species